rnacentral:rRNA from 1 species
UACGUAGGGGGCUAGCGUUGUCCGGAUUUAUUGGGCGUAAAGAGCGUGUAGGCGGCCAGGUAGGUCUGCUGUGAAAACUCGAGGCUCAACCUCGAGACGUCGGCGGAAACCAUCUGGCUAGAGUCCGGAAGAGGAGAGUGGAAUUCCUGGUGUAGCGGUGAAAUGCGCAGAUAUCAGGAAGAACACCCGUGGCGAAAGCGGCUCUCUGGAACGGUACUGACG